GGGAGUAUAGUUCAACUGGUUAGAAUGCCGCCUUUACACGGCGGAGGCUUACAGGUUCGAGUCCUGUUAUUCCCA
rnacentral:tRNA from 2 species